GGUAUUUUUUAUUAAAGCUAUUUUGUGAUGACGACGCUGUUUCCUGAAUUGUUAGUUUAACUGGUGUAACAUCUUGAAACUACCUCUGUUCGAAGGAACUUAUUCACGACCUCUCAGACCCUUCUAAUGUUUACAAAAUGGACUGCAUUUUCCGCAAUCUAUCUUUACCUAAUAGCUUUGUAAAUGUAAAUCUUUGAAGUGGACUGUAAGUAGAAUCAUACAGUGGACGGAGCAGUGAGGACGCGAAAUAUUCUGCUGUCAACAUCAGCUGUUACACUGGAAUUAGGUGUCAACAUUUUGUUUUUACGCCUUGUGGUUGGCUGACAAGAAAACGUCGGCUUAGACCAUGAGGCUCGGACUUGUUCAUAGUACGUACAUCUAAGCUGGAAAACGAGGCGUCAUGUGGCCAAUAUUGGACGGCCGUAGAACACCAAAGGAAACAUUGGCCUAGCUAUCGGUUGGUGUCAACUGUUAUUUUUAGGAAGAUUCUACAAGUGACAGGAGGUUUUAGUUCUUUCUUCUCACAGCAGAGGGAUUGGUACUAGAUAUGGUUAGACAUUAUUGGAACCAAGAGGAAGGGAACCGGGAAGAGUGAACUGGGAACUCGAGAAAUACAUCUAUUCACUUGACAAUUUGUCGUCAGAUGCGAAAACUUCCAGUUCAAACUAACAGUCAUCUUGUGCGUUUUCUCGAUGGGAAUACAGUUGACCAGAUGAUAGCAGGACGAGAUCCAGUAUUGUCUCACAGCUUUCCUUCUGGGCUUCAGCACCUAACAAGACUGGCUAAGAUUGGAAAGAACAAACCCAACUUAUUUCUGAAGAUUUUGCUACGACUGGAAAGAACCACAGAUGCCUCAUACUAAUGAAGCAGAACCCAAGUUUGUGAGAAGCUGUGGACGACUCCAUUAGGCCCAGAGAGUUGAAAGCUUUCAAGUCUGUUUCCUUUGUCAGUUUGCCAUGAUGCCAAGUCAACCUAACAACAGCAAGAGAUUCCCCCUUGACCUGUCCUGUACUGAUUCUGUCCAAUAUGUUUUGCUUGAUGGUGGACAGUCGCUGCAGCUGUGAUGUGCCAUUGCAAAAGGGAUAAGUUGCAUGGAGGGAUUAUCUACUGUCUCAUAUGAAGAAUCUAUGGGGUAGUUUUUUUAAUAAUUACUCUGUUGCUGGAAAGAACCUUGAAAAGUUCAUAUUUCUGCCUGUCUUAUCAGGUUUGAUUACACCUCUAAGAUGCUUAUCAUAGUCUUUUUAUCUCUUAGAUUUGGUGGAAGAUAGAUCAAAUGACUUGUCUAGAUCCCACUAAAUUUAAGAAUUUGUCUAGUGAAGUGUAUGCUUAAGGUAUUAUCACGUCAUUUGACAGAUUCUUAGAUUUGGUGGGGUCUAGACAGGUCAUUUGAUCUAUGUUCCACCAAAUCUGAGACAUAGAAAGAAUAUGAUCAGCAUCUUGAAGGUGUAAUCAAACCUGAUAAGACAGGCAGAAAUAUGAACUUUUCAGGGUUCUUUCCAACAACAAAGAAAAAUUAAAAACUACCCCAUAGAUUCUUCAUAUGAGACAGUGGAUAAUCCCUCCAUGCAGUGGUGUAAUUGUCCACCAUUAAGUAAAACAUGUUGGAUAGAAUCAGUACAUUUCGGGUCAAGGGGAAGAAUCUCUUGCUGUUGUGAGGUUGACUUGGCUUCACAGCAAACUGACCCAGGAAACAGACUUGGAAGCCAACUCCCUGGACCUAAUGGAGUCUAGUGAAUAGUGAUUGUCAAAUCAAGAAUAUGAUGAUGGUAUUCCAGGCCUAAGGACUGAAAAUGUUAUAUCAAUUUGUUGAAAAUGGAGUAAUAAAAAUAACCAAAAUCUGA